rnacentral:ncRNA from 2 species
CGCCUUCUUUAUGGAAGGUAAGGGUGGAAAGGCAGUGUAAGAGACUACCGCCGUUGUGGUAACAGAACGGGCACAUGUAAACUCCAUUCGAAGCAAGACCGAAACGAAAGCAAUACGGCUGCCCGUCGUGCUUUCAGGUGGGUCGCUUGAGCCAGCUGGCAACGGCUGGCCUAGACAGAUGAUCACUCAACGACAUAACCCGGCUUAUCGGUCUGCUUGCAUA